GUAUUGCUGAGGAAUCCAAUACUAGAACGAAAUGGCCGUCCAAUAC
rnacentral:hammerhead_ribozyme from 1 species